ACCUACGGGAGGCAGCAGUGAGGAAUAUUGGUCAAUGGCCGGAAGGCUGAACCAGCCAAGCCGCGUGAGGGAAGACGGCCCUAUGGGUUGUAAACCUCUUUUGUCGGAGAACAAAACCCGGGACGUGUCCCGGACUGCGUGUAUCCGAAGAAAAAGCAUCGGCUAACUCCGUGCCAGCAGCCGCGGUAAUACGGAGGAUGCGAGCGUUAUCCGGAUUUAUUGGGUUUAAAGGGUGCGUAGGCGGUCCGUUAAGUCAGCGGUAAAAUUGCGGGGCUCAACCCUGUCGAGCCGUUGAAACUGGCAGA
rnacentral:rRNA from 1 species